AACGAACGCUGGCGGCGUGCCUAACACAUGCAAGUCGAGCGGGAAAGUUCCCUUCGGGGAGCGAGUACAGCGGCGAACGGGUGAGUAACACGUAGGCAACCUACCCUGGAGAUUGGGAUAACCUGCCGAAAGGCGGGCUAAUACCAGAUAAGACCACGAGGGCUGCGGCCCUUGAGGAAAAAGAUGGCCUCUGCUUGCAUGCUAUCGCUCCGGGAUGGGCCUGCGCGCCANAGCUAGUUGGUGAGGUAACGGCUCACCAAGGCCGAGAUGGCUAGCUGGUCUGAGAGGAUGGCCAGCCACACUGGGACUGAGACACGGUCCAGACUCCUACGGGAGGCAGCAGUGGGAAUAUUGCGCAAUGGGCGAAAGCCUGACGCAGCCACGCCGCGUGAGCGAU
rnacentral:rRNA from 1 species